AUUGAACGCUGGCGGCAGGCUUAACACAUGCAAGUCGAGCGAGCUGCGGACGGGUGAGUAAUGUCUGGGAAACUGCCUGAUGGAGGGGGAUAACUACUGGAACCGGUAGCUAAUACCGCAUACCAUCAGAUGUGCCCAGAUGGGCUUGGCUAGUUGGUGUGGUAAUGGCUCACCUAGGCGACGAUCCCUAGCUGGUCUGAGAGGAUGACCAGCAACACUGGAACUGAGACACGGUCCAGACUCCUACGGGAGGCAGCAGUGGGGAAUAUUGCACAAUGGGCGCAAGCCUGAUGCAGCCAUGCCGCGUGUGUGAAGAAGGCCUUCGGGUUGUAAAGCACUUUCAGCGAGGAGGCGUUACUCGCAGAAGAAGCACCGGCUAACUCCGUGCCAGCAGCCGCGGUAAUUC
rnacentral:rRNA from 1 species